rnacentral:rRNA from 1 species
AGUAACAUCCGGAAACGGGUGCUAAUACGCAUAGUUUCUUGAUCGCAUGAUCGGGAAAGGAAAGACGGCCUUUGUGCUGUCGCUUAUGGAUGGACCCGCGGCGUAUUAGUUAGUUGGUGAGGUAACGGCUCACCAAGACGAUGAUACGUAGCCGACCUGAGAGGGUGAUCGGCCACAUUGGGACUGAGACACGGCCCAAACUCCUACGGGAGGCAGCAGUAGGGAAUCUUCCGCAAUGGACGAAAGUCUGACGGAGCAACGCCGCGUGAGUGAAAAGAAGGUUUUCGGAUCGUAAAACUCUGUUGUCAGAGAAGAACAAGUUGGAGAGUAACUGCUCCAGCCUUGACGGUAUCUGACCAGAAAGCCACGGCUAACUACGUGCCAGCCGCCGC